UCUCUGGUGGUCCAGUGGCUAGGACCCUGUGCUUCCAACGCAGGGGACGUGGGUUCAGUCCCCGGUCGGGGAA
rnacentral:tRNA from 1 species